rnacentral:rRNA from 1 species
CUAGUCUUAUCGGUGGAUCACUCGGCUCGUGGAUCGAUGAAGAACGCAGCCAACUGCGAUAAUUAGUGUGAACUGCAGAAACCUUGAACACAGAACUUUCGAAUGCACAUUGCGCCAUUGGAGUGACAUCCAUUGGCACGCCUGGUUCAGGGUCGUAACCAAAAAAUGCACUGCAUGUGCGUGUUUUAUUUGCAAAGAUCACGCUUCGGC